UACGUAGGUCCCGAGCGUUGUCCGGAUUUAUUGGGCGUAAAGCGAGCGCAGGUGGUUUAUUAAGUCUGGUGUAAAAGGCAGUGGCUCAACCAUUGUGUGCAUUGGAAACUGGUAGACUUGAGUGCAGGAGAGAAGAGUGGAAUUCCAUGUGUAGCGGUGAAAUGCGUAGAUAUAUGGAGGAACACCGGUGGCGAAAGCGGCUCUCUGGCCUGUAACUGACACUGAGGCUCGAAAGCGUGGGGAGCAAACAGG
rnacentral:rRNA from 1 species